CCUACGGGUGGCUGCAGUGGGGAAUAUUGCACAAUGGGCGCAAGCCUGAUGCAGCCAUGCCGCGUGUGUGAAGAAGGCCUUCGGGUUGUAAAGCACUUUCAGCGGGGAGGAAGGCGUUAAGGUUAAUAACCUUGUCGAUUGACGUUACCCGCAGAAGAAGCACCGGCUAACUCCGUGCCAGCAGCCGCGGUAAUACGGAGGGUGCAAGCGUUAAUCGGAAUUACUGGGCGUAAAGCGCACGCAGGCGGUCUGUCAAGUCGGAUGUGAAAUCCCCGGGCUCAACCUGGGAACUGCAUUCGAAACUGGCAGGCUAGAGUCUUGUAGAGGGGGGUAGAAUUCCAGGUGUAGCGGUGGAAUGCGUAGAGAUCUGGAGGAAUACCGGUGGCGAAGGCGGCCCCCUGGACAAAGACUGACGCUCAGGUGCGAAAGCGUGGGGAGCAAACAGGAUUAGAUACCCGAGUAGUC
rnacentral:rRNA from 1 species